rnacentral:lncRNA from 1 species
UUAUAUCCUUCAAUCCUAUAUGGUCAUACCUGAAUAAUACUAUCCUUAUGGAUAGCACAACAAGGCAGCACUACUAGAAUAUGCCAUAAGCAUCACUAAGUCAACAUCAUACCAAUCACUAUAGCAAGCCUUGUGGAUAGCACAACAAAUUCACUAUAGUUUUUGACAUACUCUAUUGACCUAGUAUGAGCUAAAUAUCAUUAGCUUCAUAAUACACCA